UGGGGAAUUUUGGACAAUGGGGGAAACCCUGAUCCAGCCAUCCCGCGUGUGCGAUGAAGGCCUUCGGGUUGUAAAGCACUUUUGGCAGGAAAGAAACGUCGCGGGUUAAUACCCCGCGAAACUGACGGUACCUGCAGAAUAAGCACCGGCUAACUACGUGCCAGCAGCCGCGGUAAUACGUAGGGUGCAAGCGUUAAUCGGAAUUACUGGGCGUAAAGCGUGCGCAGGCGGUUCGGAAAGAAAGAUGUGAAAUCCCAGAGCUUAACUUUGGAACUGCAUUUUUAACUACCGGGCUAGAGUGUGUCAGAGGGAGGUGGAAUUCCGCGUGUAGCAGUGAGAUGCGUAGAUAUGCGGAGGAACACCGAUGGCGAAGGCAGCCUCCUGGGAUAACACUGACGCUCAUGCACGAAAGCGUGGGGAGCAAACAGGAUUAGAUACCCUGGUAGUCCACGCCCUAAACGAUGUCAACUAGCUGUUGGGGCCUUCGGGCCUUGGUAGCGCAGCUAACGCGUGAAGUUGACCGCCUGGGGAGUACCGUCGCAAGAUUAAAACUCAAAUGAAUUG
rnacentral:rRNA from 1 species